GCAAGUCGAGCGCGAAAUCUCCUUCGGGAGUGAGUAGAGCGGCGGACGGGUGAGUAACGCGUAGGAAUCUACCCAGUGGUGGGGGACAACAGUCGGAAACGGCUGCUAAUACCGCAUACGCCCUACGGGGAAAAGCGGGGGACCUUCGGGCCUCGCGCCAUUGGAUGAGCCUGCGUCGGAUUAGCUAGUUGGUAGGGUAAAGGCCUACCAAGGCGACGAUCCGUAGCUGGUCUGAGAGGACGAUC
rnacentral:rRNA from 1 species